AUGCUUACAAUUUGAUUGUCAGUAUCUGCAUUUCGUUCAGUGACGUAGUAAAGACUGCAACCAUUAGGACAAGUGCAGUAGGAUCUACAUCACUAUACUUGAACAGAGAGUUGUUUACACAUGGCUGGUUAGUAAAUGAGGAACUUGUAACUGCUCCACAGAAAAAAUCCCCAGAGUUAGGAAUGUUCUGUCAACCUUUCUUUAAAAGGAAAAGAGAAGAAGGAAAAAUAAAAUCCGCUGGCCAAGGCCGUGCCCUCCUUUACAGCGGCGGGCCCGGGUACACCAGACCCUGUUCCCCCUUCUCGUCAGGCCUGAUCGACGGCGUCAUCCCUACCCUUUUCUAACAGACUAUUUCCACAUAUUGUCCCCUUUCGGUUUAGGUGUAUAGAUGAUGAACGUGGAUAUCUAUCAUCAAAGAGUUGCAUAUGAUCCGUUCAUCUAGUUAACCUAGGUACGUUUGAAGAUUGGUGGGGGAAAGGGGGCGAAGAAGUGGAGGUAAGGAGGCUGAUCUAGCGGCAGGGGUGACAUCAAGAAUUGCGCGCCAGAUGGGAUCCUAUUUCUCCCUACUUUUACCACGUCAUCUACCCCUUGCUUUGACGCGGAUUUAUUAUUAUUCCACGGUCGAUAUCCAUUCGCUUACCCUUUGUCGGUUAACACAGCGCCACGCUGACCGCAGUUUUGAAACACGGAUGUGUAAUACUUUCUUGCGAGAGAGAAUGUACCCGGGAGACGGUAUAAGCCUUCGCUUUCAAGUGGUUCUUAAUUCCUCUUAGAAGCCGGCGAUGCGACUGACACACGAAUCUGGGACUUGAAAAACAGCCUCGUCAACGUGCGCGCAGGUGACCUCUGGCGAAGGUAACCCACGACAUGCGAGUCGCAGGUAGCAACAGCUUGCGCCACGGCAGCAGCGAGUCGAGCCGCAUCUGUCGCUACGAGACACAACAUCACGACAGCCAGAUUAUGAGCUUGAUAUAACACAUGGAAGACCGGAUGAACACAGUGACAGCGAAAGGAAAUGUGACGGAUGGCGACAGCAACACGGUGGAGAGCAGGGCGUACCAGGCUGUCUCACUGGCCGCCUACAUCGUGUCCUUUACAGUCUUCUUUUUCUUCACCUGCGCCAUAGUAUUUUUCAUCAAGCGACGACAGUCACGACGUCUACAAUCAACACUACCUCCCCCACCAGCCACCCGGGAGGUGGCCGUCAUAAGCAGGGUGGAAGGCGGUGUGCAGUUUUCUCCUCAGUCUGGGGUGCAUGUCGCCUCCUACGGAGAAGUGCUUCCUAGCAGCUCAGCCGGCAUCAGUGUACCCGUAUUGACCCCUCCACCCUAUUCAACAAUUGCGUUUGACAACUAUGCGCUGGAUGUCACUUCUGAGUGCGAUCUGCCACCGCCGUACUCAGAGAGGGACAUUUGUACAGAACUGUCGCCAGCGGAGCGGAAAGACAACCGAUGACACCUGACUGCCUCCACUCGAGGCUCUGUGAAACAUCUAGGUCGAACAUCUAGGUCUCUUCGAGAUGCGUGGUCUGGUCAUGCUAGAGAUUGUUUAUUUAUUUUGCGGGAGUGUUGGACGACAGGUGUGUGCGCGACUGCGCGUGGUGUAUUUGUGUUUCUGUGGAGGGUAGGGGAACGGAGGGUGACAGGCAAAAGGUUGUGUGGAGGGAAGGUUACCAAGCACAAACAGCAUGGAGCCCUGACUACGCCCUUCAAUCACUCCAGAUCCGCCUGGUUAACAGUGGAGUAGCUGUAGGGCUCGACCGUGUGACCGCUACAAAACAGUGACAGGGUUACGAGGUUAAAACCUCGCCAGUGAUUCGGGUCAAUGCUUGCCAGUCGACUGGCAACAGAUGACGAAGUGGUCAGUCCACACGGUGUGAAAGUGCGCUACUUUGACAAUUUCAUUUACUUUUUACAGCCUAUAAAUAUUUGUGUCUGGUGAGAUUCAGCCGAUCACCAUGCAGUAAGAAGCACGGAUUUUAUUAACCUGACACAUUAAUGCACACUUUUUUUUAUAUAUUAUUAAUCGUUCAUUGGUGGUAGCCAAGUUAACGACAACCUGUUUAAAAUUUCGUUGAUUUUUGAUUUUAAAUUUAUGGACUAUGCUUUCGAAUUUUAAACCCAGGGCAUCUUUUUUUAAAUUAUGUGAGUGUAGGAGCAGUUGUCUGUUAAUGUUUUUGCACCCAUAUGUGUGUGUGAGAGAGAGAGAGAGAGAGCGAGCACAUAAAUACAGACGAGUUUUAUGUUUUAUGUUUUAUGCACGGCAAUACACUAAUUCCAAUCCACAAUAUUUACAAAUAGCUUCUCACUAAAAAAAGAAUGACUAGAAUUUUUUUUUUCAAAUAAACUGUUUCAUGGGAGUUUGUUUGCACUCAUGUUUUAAGUCCCAUUCAACAUUUAUUUCACUGUGAUACAGCAAAGUUCGUGUUCAUGAAGCACGUUUAAUUAACCUGAGACGGGUAAAAAGGUUGGUGAAAUGUGUGAGCCAUUUUGAUAUUCAUACACUAUAUUCUGGAGAGGCCCUUUUCGACUAAAAGUUAAUAAGCACAAUGGAGAGAUUUCUUACUUAGAUAUAUAUAAACGAACACAUUGCGAUUUUAAACUAAGGUCAUAAAUAUAAGAUUAUUGUUAAAAACAAAUUUAUAUCUCUAACCUAAAUUUUAGUGACUUAGAUGUUAAGAUUGUGUUAUGUAACCCGAACUGCAUUUUCCCGGGGAGUAGACUCGGUAACCCUGUGUCGCUUCCCGGCGGCAACAAGACAGAGCGUGAUGUCACCUCAGAGUACUGAGUACCUAUUAGUGUGAUGUCAUAGCAAGCCGCUGGCGGCGACGUAAGAGGUACGUAAUCUGACCUCUUUCUAGCCUCUGCUCGUUCGCUUGACGUCAUACGGCGGAGCAAAAAUAGACUGAAAGGAAUCCCAUUGACUACCGGCCAGAUGAGAUGGAAGGCUAAGUGGACAAAGGAAACCACGUCACCACUGACCCUAUGACCGCACGCCCUCAGCUGUGGACGCAGAAGCGCCAGUCAACAAGUUCGCUGUGGCAACACCAAUCAGCUGAUCGGAGGAAGCCACCCCAAUGGAUAGUCCCUACGUCACUUCCUAACCUCGUGCUCGCGUGGUUUGGACAAAGGUCAGCCAUCAGCCUCAGGUUUCUGAGCAAUUGAAAAAAAAAGCAGCAGCAAGAAGACAAUGAACGCCAUCAACUCUACUAGUGGUGGGGUACUUCUUCCUGUUACCACCCGCGUUGCAAAGGAGCUGUAUCAUAUGGACGGAUUCCUUAUAACUGUACUUAAAUUUGAGGUUAUCUUUGUUGGUCUUGCCAUCAUCGUCUUGUUAGGCAAUUCUGUCUAUCAAAAUUACUUCUACUACCCAAGAUAUCUUCGCUCAUUGGCCUCAGCUGAGUCGGGAGAAAGCACAAAGGUUUCAAAAUGUUCUGCGCCAUCUGAAGAACAAUGUUCCGUGAAACAACGCACAAUGUGCACACAUCAAAACAGACUCAACUGUCGUAGUAAUGUCACCCCCGCCGUAUUCUUCACUGGAUGAACAAGACACAAACAGUGAUCUUCCAACAGCCAUUGUCCUUGUUUGACUUGCAGUCGUUACGAAGAACAAGAACGUGAAUAGAAAAUACCUAAUAAAGGUUCUCAAUGACCAUCCGGAGCCUCAUUUAGGACGGAAUUGAACACUGUUUGAAUAAAAAUAUUUUGGGCUUGGAAGUGUGAUGUGUAAAUGUCGUGUUUGCCACUCAUUCUCUCAUUUGUAUUUUUCCUGAUUUUUUUUUUUAUAAUGCUCACAUAUGAUGACUAUCAGCUGCGGACCACCUGACACACGUGCGGCCCACACUUUGCCAACCACUGCUGUACAGUAUUAAUAAUGUAACUCAGUGAUGGCAGUCACAAAGUGAGUGUAAUCUCAGCUGAUUAACUCUGUAGGUGUUUUCAUUUAUCACUGACGUUGAGACAGAAAUACUCAGAAACUAUUCUACCUGCAGCUAUUAGAAAGAUGAUUACUAGUGUUAAUAAACUAAAACCACAGUGUGCGAACCAUUGUAAAUCGUAGAAUAAUAAUAAUAAUAAAAAAAUGUUUAAACGAAUACUCAUACUAAGGUGCAUGCCCAAGAACGAAACAUGGACAGCACAUGAGGGACAGGAAAACAAACAACAUAUGAACUAUAAAAAAACUAAAAACCGUAUUCAACGAACAAUAAAAUCAAAUGAAGAAAAAAGCAAAGAAGAACCGAAAAACAAAAGAGCUGAGAGUAACAUAAUAUUGCAAAACGAAGGGAGUUAACAAGAACUAGCAUUAUUUACCGAAAUAAACACAUUAAAGAAAUGUAUUUUCUUAUAUUGACAUAUAUAUAAAUAAAGAUGGGGUGAAAAAAAAAAUAGAAAGCAACGAGGGAGUUCACACCACUAUUGCUGAUCCACUAACCGUAAAUAUACUUUUUUUACCUUUCCUUUUUUUGUGUGAAAUGUUUAUUUUUGUUAAAUAAACCAAAUAUAGCGGAAUUAACCAGAAAGAGCCAUUUUACAAUAAAAGAAUGUUCCAGAAUUACUUAGAGCUGGAAGAAUAUUUUUUUGUUGUUUACCCUGAAAUUAACAAUCGAAAUGAUUGAAAGUCCGGCAAUCAGAAAAUGUUUUGGUGAAAGUAUAGAUUAAUAAUAUUUAUUGAUAUAUUAUAUAUAUAUAUUGACUGCUCAAUAUUCCACGUCCGCCUCCUCUUCCCUGACAGGCCGCAGGCGGCGACGACAAAAUGACGUAAUCUGACCUCCCUCCAGCCUCUGCUCGUUCGCUUGACGUCAUACGGCGGAGCGACACUAGACUGAAAGGAAUCUCAUUGGCUACCGGCACGUGACCACUGACUGACCCGCCCUCUAGAAGCUCUGGACAGAGAACAGCCAGUCAACGUUCGCUGUAGCAAGGGUCAGUCUACGUCACUGCUCAACCUUGUGCUCAGCUCACGUGGUUUGGACAAAGCUCAGCCAUCAGUUGCGGGUUUCUCAGAUUUCUGAAAAUUUAAAAGAAAAUGAUCCCUACCAAUGCUGCUACUGGCGAGGUACUUCUUCCUGUGACCACCCCGGUUACAGAGGAUCCGCAUACCAAGGACGAAGUCUUCCUACGUUUACUUUACGUGUGUGUUGUCUUCAUUUGUCUUUCCAUUCUCUUCUGGUUUGGCGAUAUUUUGUACCAACAAUACGUCUCCUACUCUACAAAUGUUCGCUUCCUGGUCUUCGAGACUUGUGAGAACAAUGGUCCGCGUGGAAGCACCGCACAAUGUGCACACAACAACACAGACUCAACUGUCGUAGUAAUGUCGCCCCCGCCGUAUUCUUCACUGGAUGAACAAGACACAAACAGUGAUCCUCCACCAACCUACCAAGAAAAAGCAGCCACAUCUCUUAUUGGAGUUACAGUUGUUACGAAAAACAAAAACGUGUGCCACAAAAUACCUAAUAUAAUACCUAAUGACCACCGGAGCCAAUGCAAACCCUAAUUCAGGACGGAAUUGAACACUGCUUGUAAAAAUUCUUUUGAGCUUGUGGAAGAUUGUGUUACAGAGUUUAAAUGUAAAUACGAUUACUCGCUGGUUUCUUUUAUAUAUAUAUUUUGGGUUAAACUGUUGAGGGUCACGGAAACAUAAACUCACCUGUACCAGACCAUGGAGAGGACAGCCAGCUCCUUUGUCAUCAAAGUGGCUGUUGCUGACUUUAUGGUGUAGGAAGAUAUCAUUUGACAGAUUAUUUAAGCGCUUAUGCGUAAAGGGAGAAGAACUUUUAAUUGUGUUCAUUUUCAUUUCUGAAACCGAAGAGGGUUUUAACUUUGUGCUUUACAGCAUUAAUAAUUUAACUCCGUGAUAGCAGUCAUAAAGAGUGUAAUCUGAGCUCAUUAAAUCUCUCUAGGAGUUUUAAUUUAUCACUAACGUUGAGACAGAAAUAUUCAGAGACUAUUCUACCUGCAGUCUUUAUGACAAAUAUUAUAAUAAACUAUUAGUGUUCAUAAGCUAACACUGCAGUGUGCAAUCAUUGUUAAUUUUUUCAAUUGCUAUUCUAUAGUCACAGAGGGUAAGUAAAUUUUGCGAGACAUCCAUUUAUUUCUUCUCAGUUCAUCAUUGAAGAUAACUUUGUAGUUUCUGUAUCCUCUUGUAUGUUUAUUUGCAGUUAUUGAAAAAUAAGAUAAAUAUACGUAGUGCGGAGGAGCUUGCACGCAAACGUACAUACGCACACUUUUCCGAGUCGUACAUACAUGAGUAAGGCACGCAUGCAUAGAGCUUGUGUGUGUGUGUGAGAGACAGACAGACAGACAGGGUGUCACUACUCAUGUAAAAGACGUUAUGCCUCACUCGAAUUGUUAACACGCAUUUAAAACCAUUAAAGGUUGUCACUACUCAUAUGACGGUUGUCCUUUUCUAUCAUAUUACUGUUUAAAGGCUCGCGAAACGUUAUGAU
rnacentral:lncRNA from 1 species